ACGGGGUACGGUGGGUUCGCCCCGAACAAAAGAGAUGCUGAUCUCCCGCCAGAAUGACGUUACUCCCGAAGGCUUUGCGAAGGAGUCCACUUCAUCUAGUAAAACGGAAAGAACUUCUGUGCAACUGGACCACUUCACCAGGCUGCAUCUACUUCCCAAGACAGGCAGCAUGUGGCUUGUUUCUGUCAGCUGAUGCCAUGUUCUGCAAGAUUCCUGAGACUUCAUCAAUAAACACAGCCAGCCUGUCUGCCUAUUUUCUUCUUGCAGUCAAGCUUUGACUAAAAUAAUGCAAAUGUUGAAGACCCUAAUGAUUAAAACCACUUCAGUUUAGGAGAGCAAUACAAAGUGAACACAGUGUGGAAUUUUGGCAUUUUGAGACAUUGUCCUCACUUUGUUGUAUUCCUCUGGUGGUCACCAUCAGUGCACGGCACCAGGCUCUUAACAUCUUGUUGCACGGAAUGGUUGCUUCAUGUGAGGGAACAAAUUGUGAGCAGUUACUAAGGGGGCUCCUGUGUUACCAGCAGUUUAAAUUUACUAGUCAACAACUGGAAAAAAAAUAUUAUCCUUUUUGGCACCAUACUUCAGCUAUAAUUUGGGAUUGUAUUAUGUAUUUUUAAAAAAAUUUACCAUUUAUUGUGUGUAUCCGUAUCUGUGUGGGAGUAUGAACGCCAUGGCACACCUAUGGAGAUCAGAGGACAACCCUUAGGAAUUACUUCUUUCCUACGAAAUGGGUCCCAGGAUCAGAUUCAGGUUGUAAGAUCUAAUUAACUACAGGCACCUGUUUACCCAUUGAUCUCUUUUGAUAACCCAUGGAUUCUACAUUUUCAGAAAGUCUAUUUUGUGGUCCUUUCAUUUGGAGUCCAGUAAAACGUGUUACUUUCGGCAGUUUUUCAGUACAUAAAGUUAUUUUAAUAUUCCCUGUUUUGCUUAUCCAGUAUUACAUCAUUUUCUAUCAGCCCACUGUUUGAAAACAAAUUCUAUUCCUCUUGAGGCAUGAUGUCAAACAUUGAAAUUGGAAAAAAAGCUUAGUUGAAAGCCAAUGAGGGAAAAGACACUACAGGAAAUAAAUGCUAUAACCAUGGCUUGACUAGGUGUUCAAUUUAAUGAUUAUCAAGCUAAUUGGCAGGUAAUGAUAGUGUCUGUUAUUGUCUAAUGUGAUUAGUAUGUAAAUAAAGUGAUACCAAUU
ensembl:antisense Apol7d uncharacterized LOC110310922